CGAGCGGAAAGGCCCUUCGGGGUACUCGAGCGGCGAACGGGUGAGUAACACGUGAGCAACCUGCCCCAGGCUUUGGGAUAACCCCGGGAAACCGGGGCUAAUACCGAAUAUGACCUGUGACCGCAUGGUUGGGGGUGGAAAGUUUUUCGGCUUGGGAUGGGCUCGCGGCCUAUCAGCUUGUUGGUGGGGUGAUGGCCUACCAAGGCGACGACGGGUAGCCGGCCUGAGAGGGCGACCGGCCACACUGGGACUGAGACACGGCCCAGACUCCUACGGGAGGCAGCAGUGGGGAAUAUUGCACAAUGGGCGGAAGCCUGAUGCAGCGACGCCGCGUGAGGGAUGACGGCCUUCGGGUUGUAAACCUCUUUCAGCAGGGACGAAGCGUAAGUGACGGUACCUGCAGAAGAAGCGCCGGCCAACUACGUGCCAGCAGCCGCGGUAAGACGUAGGGCGCGAGCGUUGUCCGGAUUUAUUGGGCGUAAAGAGCUCGUAGGCGGCUUGUCGCGUCGACUGUGAAAACUUGCAGCUCAACCCCAAGCCUGCGGUCGAUACGGGCAGGCUAGAGUUCGGUAGGGGAGACUGGAAUUCCUGGUGUAGCGGUGAAAUGCGCAGAUAUCAGGAGGAACACCGGUGGCGAAGGCGGGUCUCUGGGCCGAUACUGACGCUGAGGAGCGAAAGCGUGGGGAGCGAACAGGAUUAGAUACCCUGGUAGUCCACGCUGUAAACGUUGGGCGCUAGGUG
rnacentral:rRNA from 1 species